AAUAAUCAAGCAAAAAAGAGCGCAGGGUGGAUGCCUUGGCACUAAGAGCCGAAGAAAGACGUGAUAAGCUGCGAAAAGCUGCGGGGAGAUGCAAAUAAUCUUUGAUCCGCAGAUGUCUGAAUGGGGAAACCCGGCUGGAAGGACUCCAGCCAUCCAUACGCCAAUCCAUAACGUAUGGAAGGGAACCCGGUGAACUGAAACAUCUAAGUAGCCGGAGGAAGAGAAAGAAACAUCGAUUUCCAGAGUAGCGGCGAGCGAAAUGGAAAGAGGCCAAACCGUUGUGCGUGCACAGCGGGGUUCGGACCGCAUAAUUGAUUCAGUGAUUCUAGCAGAAAGGUUUUGGGAAAGCCUGCCGGAGAGGGUGAAAGCCCCGUAAGCGAAAGGAAAACUGACAAGGCGGUAUCCAGAGUACAUCGAGACACGUGAAACCUUGAUGGAAUACGCGGGGACCACCCCGUAAGCCUAAAUACUACUUAGUGACCGAUAGCGCAUAGUACUGUGAAGGAAAGGUGAAAAGGACCCCGGGAGGGGAGUGAAAGAGAACCUGAAACCCUGUGUUUACAAUCUGUGGAAGGUCUUUAUAUGAUCAACCGCGUACUUUUUGUAGAACGGUCCGGCGAGUUACGCGUACUGGCAAGGUUAAGUGCUUAAGGCACGGAGCCGAAGCGACAGCGAGUCUUAACUGGGCGAUAAGUCAGUACGAGUAGACCCGAAACCGGGUGAUCUAUCCAUGUCCAGGAUGAAGAUGCCGUAAAAGGCAUUGGAGGUCCGAAGCCACAUCCGUUGAAAAGGGUGGGCAUGAGGUGUGGAUAGGGGAGAAAUUCCAAUCGAACCCGGAGAUAGCUGGUUCUCCUCGAAAUAGCUUUAGGGCUAGCCUCGUUUUAGUCUUAUGGAGGUAGAGCACUGAAUUUCCGCGGGGGCGUCAAAGCUUACCAAAGAAUAUCAAACUCCGAAUGCCAUGUAGAUGAUGAACGGGAGUCAGACUGCACGAGAUAAGUUGGGCGGUCAAAAGGGAAAGAGCCCAGACCACCGGCUAAGGUCCCAAAGUGUGUGUUAAGUGGAAAAGGAUGUGGGAAUUCGAAGACAACUAGGAUGUUGGCUCAGAAGCAGCCAUACAUUCAAAGAGUGCGUAACAGCUCACUAGUCGAGAGUCCCUGCGCCGAAAAUGUCCGGGGCUGAAACACAACACCGAAGCCGUGGACUCCGUAAGGAGUGGUAGAGGAGCAUUCUUAAAACCGACGAAGCUGUACCGGUAAGGAGCAGUGGAGGGAUAAGAAGAGAGAAUGCCGGAAUGAGUAGCGAGAGGAAGGUGGGAAUCCUUCCGGCCGAAUAUCUAAGGUUUCCAGAGUAAAGCUGAUCUGCUCUGGGUAAGUCGGGGCCUAAGGAGAGGUCGCAAGACGUAUCCGAUGGACAACAGGUUUAGAUUCCUGUACCGCAUAUAAACAGAACUGUGGGGACGCAUGUGGAAAGCAUAAGCCGGGAAUGGAAAGACCGGUACAAGCGGGGUAGGUGUGUGACAGGCAAAUCCGUCAUAUAAGCCGAAGACGUGAUGUGGAGCGAAAUUUAGUAGUGAAGUAUGUGAGCCAUGUGCCGAGAAAAGCCGCUAUUGUUUUAUAUGUGCCCGUACCGUAAACCGACACAGGUGGAUGAGGAGAGAAUCCUAAGGCCGACGGAAGAAGCAUUGUUAAGGAAUUCGGCAAAAUGACCCCGUAACUUCGGGAGAAGGGGUGCCCACUGAAUGGUGGGCCGCAGAGAAUAGGCUCAAGCAACUGUUUAGCAAAAACACAGGUCUAUGCGAAACCGAAAGGUGAAGUAUAUGGGCUGACGCCUGCCCGGUGCUGGAAGGUUAAGAGGAGAGGUUAGCGCAAGCGAAGCUUUGAAUUUAAGCCCCAGUAAACGGCGGCCGUAACUAUAACGGUCCUAAGGUAGCGAAAUUCCUUGUCGGGUAAGUUCCGACCCGCACGAAAGGCGUAAUGAUUUGAGCACUGUCUCGACAAUGCAUCCGGUGAAAUUGAAGUACCAGUGAAGAUGCUGGUUACCCGCGCCAGGACGGAAAGACCCCAUGGAGCUUUACUCCAGUUUGAUACUGGGAUUCGGUACUGCACGUACAGGAUAGGUGGGAGACUGAGAACUAUGGACGCCAGUCUGUAGGGAGUCGCUGUUGGGAUACCACCCCUGUAGUACUGGGUUUCUAACCAGCUGCCGUGACCCGGCAGUGGGACAAUGUCAGGCGGGGAGUUUGACUGGGGCGGUCGCCUCCGAAAGGGUAUCGGAGGCGCUCAAAGGUUCCCUCAGAAUGGUCGGAAACCAUUUGAAGAGUGCAAAGGCAGAAGGGAGCUUGACUGCGACACCGACGGGUGGAGCAGGUACGAAAGUAGGACUUAGUGAUCCGGUGGUAUAAAGUGGGAUUGCCAUCGCUCAACGGAUAAAAGCUACCCUGGGGAUAACAGGCUUAUCACUCCCAAGAGUUCACAUCGACGGAGUGGUUUGGCACCUCGAUGUCGGCUCAUCGCAUCCUGGGGCUGUAGCAGGUCCCAAGGGUUGGGCUGUUCGCCCAUUAAAGCGGUACGCGAGCUGGGUUCAGAACGUCGUGAGACAGUUCGGUCCCUAUCCGGCGCGGGCGGAGGAUAUUUGAGAGGAGCUGUCCUUAGUACGAGAGGACCGGGAUGGACGGACCACUGGUGUAUCUGUUGUCGACCAACGGCAUGGCAGAGUAGCCAAGUCUGGAAGGGAUAAACGCUGAAGGCAUCUAAGCGUGAAGCCCCCCUCAAGAUGAGAUAUCCCUCCUUCGGGAGUAAGACCCCUUGAAGACUACAAGGUAGAUAGGGCAGAGGUGGAAGUGUGGCAACACAUGGAGCUGACUGUUACUAAUAGGUCGAGGGCUUGAUUAAA
rnacentral:rRNA from 1 species